GCUUGUUGCUGGAGAUGUGUACAGACCUGCCGCUAUAGACCAACUUGUCAUUUUGGGUGAACAGGUGGGUGUGCCUGUUUACACUGAGGGUACGGAGGUUAAACCUUCAGAAAUAGCUAAAAGAGGCUUNCAAAAAGAAAAGCUUAGAUGUGGUCAUAGUAGACACUGCUGGAAGACUGCAGAUAGACAAAGCAAUGAUGGAUGAGCUAAAAGAAGUGAAGCGGGUAUUGAAUCCCACAGAAGUGUUGCUGGUUGUGGAUGCAAUGACUGGCCAAGAAGCAGCAGUGUUGGUUUCAACCUUCAAUCUUGAAAUUGGAAUUACGGGUGCCAUUUUGACAAAGCUAGAUNNNNNNUGGUGCAGCCCUAAGCGUCAAAGAGGUAUCAGGGAAGCCAAUUAAGCUUGUAGGGCGGGGG
rnacentral:misc_RNA from 1 species